ensembl:lncRNA
GGCUUUAUUUGUUUGGUGCAGUUUGCGGCACAAAGCUGCUCCAGAAUGGAGCUUCUGCCCCCGUCUGGUGCUGCGCACUCCAUCCCUCGCCCUUUAUCAUCCUGCACAUGGGUGACAUAGGACGGAACCAGUGCGGGCUGCUCCAGCUGCAUCUACUUUGUGAGCCCACAGGGAAUGGUGUGUGCCUGUGUGCCUGUGUGUGUGUGUGUGUGUGUGUGUGUGUGUGCGCAUGUGUGUCUGCUCUGACUGCGCACCAAGGCUGCCAGAAAAUAUGGGUAGAACGCAUGAUUGCAGGGCUCUGCACUUGCCUAAGCUGUUCACAGGCUCAGCAUCACACAGCUUGAUUCAGCACCUUUGCUCAUAGCGCGCACACAUCAACUGCAGCACAGAUCAUAGGAGGAGUGCAGUAAUGAGACAGAGCUCAGCGUUUAUUGCUUCUCUGUGUGUGUGUGUGUUCGUGUUGAGCAAAUGUGUGCAAGGUUGGUCUAGUGCGUGUUUGUAGGAGAAAAAGAAAUAACGGGAGAGAGGGAGGCACAGAGAUAGAGAUAGAGAGAGAAGGGAGAGGGGGGGGGGGGGAGAGAGGACGUGUGCUGGUGAGAGCUGGGUGGAAGGAUGUCUCCUCGUGUUUGAACUGCCUCAAACGCUCAGAGGGAGAGUCGAGGCAAGGAUUCAGCAGAGGCAGAGAAACAGACGUCUCACUGGGGGACGCAUCUUGUUCAUCACCUGCAGGGGAGCAGAGACGCUUUGGCAAUGCCUGCUGAAGUGAAAGAGGAGCAGAUUGCAGAGGGGCCUCCUCCACUGUCUUCGUCGCAGGAGGCGAAAGAGGCGAUUCUGGACAACCCGACUACCAACGAUGAACUCGAUACGCCCACCUCGAUCGCCUCCGCCAUGACCUCGACCAAUGAGAGCUCCACGGAGACCGACACGCCGCAGCAGACAGACACUGAGGAGUCCAAGCCCGUGGAACAAGAGGGCGAACAGGCCCCCAGUGACACCCAGGAACCCUCAGAGACACACCGGGAGGACUUCCAGACAUCUGACACGACCGAUCCCAAUGCCCCAACUCCAGAUGUUCAGGAUGAAAAUCCUACUGAGCAACCGAUUCCCGCCGCAAACAUUGAACCCGUCGAGCCUCUUACGCCGACCACGCCGACCAGCAGCACGACCACGGCGCCCUCUCAGCCUCCGGCUGUGCAGAAGCCUGAGGGGCAUCAGCCAAUGAACCGGGACAGGCAGAGCAGAGUGUACACCCUCCCUGACAGCUACCGGGGCGUCGGCGGGGAGGUGUGCGCGGGCUACGGAAGCCUGUCCCGCACCAGCGUCCAUGGCUACUGGCCUGCCAAGAGCUUCCAGCCCGGGGCCCACUACACCUUGCCCUUCCUCCGGGACAGCUACGGCCCGGCAGGCCUCAGCAGCCAGGCGGAGGAGGACGGCCUCAGCGAACGGGGAGAAAACCCCGUGGACGUGAAGACGGGCCGCCCGGCUAACAGUUACCCAACACUGGGGGGGAUCCACCAGUUCAGGCCGAUCACCACUAUGGAGCUCCUCAGAGAGCCCUCCAGAACCAGGUACGAGGGUGGAACAUUAGAUUGCGCCUUAUUGAUCCCUCAGGGGCGACUGUGUAAGCAGAUUUCAAGUAUGUUUUUUUUGGUUUCCAUGGUACCUAGAUGGGGUCAAA